rnacentral:rRNA from 1 species
CAGCAGUAGCCGCGGUAACACCGAGGGUGCGAGCGUUAAUCGGAUUUACUGGGCGUAAAGCGUGCGUAGGCGGCUUCUUAAGUCGGAUGUGAAAUCCCUGAGCUUAACUUAGGAAUUGCAUUCGAUACUGGGAAGCUAGAGUAUGGGAGAGGAUGGUAGAAUUCCAGGUGUAGCGGUGAAAUGCGUAGAGAUCUGGAGGAAUACCGAUGGCGAAGGCAGCCAUCUGGCCUAAUACUGACGCUGAGGUACGAAAGCAUGGGGAGCAAACAGGAUUAGAUACCCCAGUAGUCCCUGUCUCUUAUAC